AUGCUGGGGUCUGUCACUCUCCUUCUUGCCACCCUGCUCCCUGCCGGACAGGCGGCACUCUCCCUCGACCAGCCAGCGGUCUCCAUCACCAGAGAGGCCAGGAAGUCCACAAAGAUCUCCUGUGACUUUUCUCAGAAAAGCAUCACAUACAUCCACUGGUAUCGCCAGCAGCCUGGGAAGGCUCCUCAGCACCUGCUCUACUAUAACAUGGCCACAGCUAAACAGACGAUGAAUGCAGGAUUCAGUUCAGACAAAUUCUAUGCCUACAAGAGGAAAGACCAAAGCUACACCCUGGAGGUCCAGAACCUGGGCACGAGUGAUGCUGGCAUCUAUUACUGUGCCAGCUGGGACCCCACAGUGACACAGGUCCCUUUGCUCUCUGUACAAAAAUAUCACUCUCUGUUGUUCCAGCAACAAGGCCUGCCCUCCAUAGCUCCAAUAUCACAAGCAGCCCAGCCAAUUAGCAGAGGGGAGACCUUGGUGACUCACCACUCCAACCCUAGGGUCCCCAGCCCCUCUUCAGACCACUGA